UGCACUGGUAAAUUUUCCAAUCACUUGAAAUUAAUACUGACUUACAGACAGGUGCAAAAAAUAUCCUCUUUUGCAACCCAGAUCUCAUUAUACCGUAAGAGUUUUGAUACAUAUAAGAAGGAAUAUG
rnacentral:snoRNA from 1 species